UCAGAUUGAACGCUGGCGGCAGGCCUAACACAUGCAAGUCGAGCGGAUGAAGGGAGCUUGCUCCUGGAUUCAGCGGCGGACGGGUGAGUAAUGCCUAGGAAUCUGCCUGGUAGUGGGGGAUAACGUCCGGAAACGGGCGCUAAUACCGCAUACGUCCUGAGGGAGAAAGUGGGGGAUCUUCGGACCUCACGCUAUCAGAUGAGCCUAGGUCGGAUUAGCUAGUUGGUGGGGUAAAGGCCUACCAAGGCGACGAUCCGUAACUGGUCUGAGAGGAUGAUCAGUCACACUGGAACUGAGACACGGUCCAGACUCCUACGGGAGGCAGCAGUGGGGAAUAUUGGACAAUGGGCGAAAGCCUGAUCCAGCCAUGCCGCGUGUGUGAAGAAGGUCUUCGGAUUGUAAAGCACUUUAAGUUGGGAGGAAGGGCAGUAAGUUAAUACCUUGCUGUUUUGACGUUACCAACAGAAUAAGCACCGGCUAACUUCGUGCCAGCAGCCGCGGUAAUACGAAGGGUGCAAGCGUUAAUCGGAAUUACUGGGCGUAAAGCGCGCGUAGGUGGUUCAGCAAGUUGGAUGUGAAAUCCCCGGGCUCAACCUGGGAACUGCAUCCAAAACUACUGAGCUAGAGUACGGUAGAGGGUGGUGGAAUUUCCUGUGUAGCGGUGAAAUGCGUAGAUAUAGGAAGGAACACCAGUGGCGAAGGCGACCACCUGGACUGAUACUGACACUGAGGUGCGAAAGCGUGGGGAGCAAACAGGAUUAGAUACCCUGGUAGUCCACGCCGUAAACGAUGUCGACUAGCCGUUGGGAUCCUUGAGAUCUUAGUGGCGCAGCUAACGCGAUAAGUCGACCGCCUGGGGAGUACGGCCGCAAGGUUAAAACUCAAAUGAAUUGACGGGGGCCCGCACAAG
rnacentral:rRNA from 1 species